GUAAGGAAUAUUGCGCAAUGGGCGAAAGCCUGACGCAGCGACGCCGCGUGGGGGAUGAAGGUCUUCGGAUUGUAAACCCCUUUCGGGAGGGAAGAUGGAGCGAGCAAUCGUUCGGACGGUACCUCCAGAAGCAGCCACGGCCAACUUCGUGCCAGCAGCCGCGGUAAUACGAAGGUGGCAAGCGUUGUUCGGAUUCACUGGGCGUACAGGGUGUGUAGGCGGUUUGGUAAGCCUUCUGUUAAAGCUUCGGGCCCAACCCGGAAAGCGCAGAGGGUACUGCCAGGCUAGAGGGUGGGAGAGGAGCGCGGAAUUCCCGGUGUAGCGGUGAAAUGCGUAGAGAUCGGGAGGAAGGCCGGUGGCGAAGGCGGCGCUCUGGAACAUACCUGACGCUGAGACACGAAAGCGUGGGGAGCAAACAGGAUUAGAUACCCCAGUAGUCC
rnacentral:rRNA from 1 species